rnacentral:rRNA from 2 species
AAUAGGUAUGCUUAGGGAGGAGCUUGCGUCACAUUAGUUAGUUGGUGGGGUAAAGGCCUACCAAGACUAUGAUGUGUAGCCGGGCUGAGAGGUUGAACGGCCACAUUGGGACUGAGACACGGCCCAAACUCCUACGGGAGGCAGCAGUAGGGAAUUUUCGGCAAUGGAGGAAACUCUGACCGAGCAACGCCGCGUGAACGAUGAAGUAUUUCGGUACGUAAAGUUCUUUUAUUAGGGAAGAAUAAAUGAUGGAAAAAUCAUUCUGACGGUACCUAAUGAAUAAGCCCCGGCUAACUAUGUGCCAGCAGCCGCGGUAAUACAUAGGGGGCAAGCGUUAUCCGGAAUUAUUGGGCGUAAAGGGUGCGUAGGCUGUUAAAUAAGUUUAUGGUCUAAGUGCAAUGCUCAACAUUGUGAUGCUAUAAAAACUGUUUAGCUAGAGUAAGAUAGAGGCAAGUGGAAUUCCAUGUGUAGUGGUAAAAUGCGUAAAUAUAUGGAGGAACACCAGUAGCGAAGGCGGCUUGCUGGGUCUUUACUGACGCUGAGGCACGAAAGCGUGGGGAGCAAACAGGAUUAGAUACCCUGGUAGUCCACGCCGUAAACGAUGAGUACUAAACGUUGGGUAAAACCAGUGUUGAAGUUAACACAUUAAGUACUCCGCCUGAGUAGUACGUACGCAAGUAUGAAACUUAAAGGAAUUGACGGGACUCCGCACAAGCGGUGGAUCAUGUUGUUUAAUUCGAAGGUACCCGAAAAACCUCACCAGGUCUUGACAUGCUUCUGCAAAGCUGUAGAAACACAGUGGAGGUUAUCAGUUGCACAGGUGGUGCAUGGUUGUCGUCAGCUCGUGUCGUGAGAUGUUGGGUUAAGUCCCGCAACGAGCGCAACCCUUAUUGUUAGUUACCAGCACGUAAUGGUGGGGACUUUAGCAAGACUGCCAGUGAUAAAUUGGAGGAAGGUGGGGACGACGUCAAAUCAUCAUGCCCCUUAUGACCUGGGCUACAAACGUGAUACAAUGGCUGUUACAAAGGGUAGCUGAAGCGCAAGUUUUUGGCGAAUCUCAAAAAAACAGUCUCAGUUCGGAUUGAAGUCUGCAACUCGACUUCAUGAAGUUGGAAUCGCUAGUAAUCGCG